rnacentral:rRNA from 1 species
UACAUGGGGUGCAAACGUUGCUCGGAAUCAUUGGGCGUAAAGCGCGCGUAGGCGGUUGCUUAUGUCGGAUGUGAAAGCCCUCGGCUUAACUGAGGAAGUGCAUCCGAAACUGGGCAGCUAGAGUACGGAAGAGGGUCGCGGAAUUCCCGGUGUAGAGGUGAAAUGCGUAGAGAUCCGGAGGAACCCCAGAGGCGAAGGCGGCGCCCUGGCUCGCAACUGACGCUCAGACACGACAGCAUGGGGAGCGAACGGG